UGGGGAAUAUUGGACAAUGGAGGCAACUCUGAUCCAGCAAUUCUGUGUGUGUGAAGAAGGUUUUAGGACUGUAAAACACUUUUAGUAGGGAAGAAAGAAAUGACGGUACCUACAGAAGAAGCGACGGCUAAAUACGUGCCAGCAGCCGCGGUAAUACGUAUGUCGCGAGCGUGAUCCGGAAUUAUUGGGCUUAAAGGGCAUCUAGGCGGUUAAACAAGUUGAAGGUGAAAACCUGUGGCUCAACCAUAGGCUUGCCUACAAAACUGUAUAACUAGAGUACUGGAAAGGUGGGUGGAACUACACGAGUAGAGGUGAAAUUCGUAGAUAUGUGUAGGAAUGCCGAUGAUGAAGAUAACUCACUGGACAGCAACUGACGCUGAAGUGCGAAAGCUAGGGGAGCAAACAGG
rnacentral:rRNA from 1 species